rnacentral:rRNA from 1 species
CCUACGGGAGGCAGCAGUAGGGAAUCUUCCACAAUGGGCGAAAGCCUGAUGGAGCAACGCCGCGUGGGUGAAGAAGGUCUUCGGAUCGUAAAACCCUGUUGUUAGAGAAGAAAGUGCGUGAGCGUAACUGUUCACGUUUCGACGGUAUCUAACCAGCAAGCCACGGCUAACUACGUGCCAGCAGCCGCGGUAAUACGUAGGUGGCAAGCGUUAUCCGGAUUUAUUGGGCGUAAAGGGAACGCAGGCGGUCUUUUAAGGCUGAUGUGAAAGCCUUCGGCUUAACCGGAGUAGUGCAUUGGAAACUGGGAGACGUGAGUGCAGAAGAGGAGAGUGGAACUCGAUGUGUAGCGGUGAAAUGCGUAGAUAUAUGGAAGAACACCAGUGGCGAAAGCGGCUCUCUGGUCUGUAACUGACGCUGAGGUUCGAAAGCGUGGGUAGCAAACAGGAUUAGAUACCCUUGUAGUC